AUUGAACGCUGGCGGCAGGCCUAACACAUGCAAGUCGAACGGUAACAGGAAGAAGCUUGCUUCUUUGCUGACGAGUGGCGGACGGGUGAGUAAUGUCUGGGAAACUGCCUGAUGGAGGGGGAUAACUACUGGAAACGGUAGCUAAUACCGCAUAACGUCGCAAGACCAAAGAGGGGGACCUUCGGGCCUCUUGCCAUCGGAUGUGCCCAGAUGGGAUUAGCUAGUAGGUGGGGUAACGGCUCACCUAGGCGACGAUCCCUAGCUGGUCUGAGAGGAUGACCAGCCACACUGGAACUGAGACACGGUCCAGACUCCUACGGGAGGCAGCAGUGGGGAAUAUUGCACAAUGGGCGCAAGCCUGAUGCAGCCAUGCCGCGUGUAUGAAGAAGGCCUUCGGGUUGUAAAGUACAUUCAGCGGGGAGGAAGGGAGUAAAGUUAAUACCUUUGCUCAUUGACGUUACCCGCAGAGGAAGCACCGCCUAACUCCGUGCCAGCCGCCGCAGUAAUAC
rnacentral:rRNA from 1 species